UACGAAGGGUGCAAACGUUGCUCGGAAUUAUUGGGCGUAAAGGGCGCGUAGGCGGUGCGGUAAGUCUGUAGUGAAAUCUCUGGGCUCAACUCAGAGUCUGCUGCAGAAACUGCCGUGCUUGAGUGUGGGAGAGGUGAGUGGAAUUCCCGGUGUAGUGGUGAAAUGCGUAGAGAUCCGGAGGAACACCAGAGGCGAAGGCGGCACCCUGGCCUAAUACUGACACUGAGACGCGAAAGCAUGGGGAGCGAACGGG
rnacentral:rRNA from 1 species